rnacentral:rRNA from 1 species
GACGAACGCUGGCGGCGUGCUUAACACAUGCAAGUCGAACGGGUCUGCCCUGUUUUUUGCGGGGUGGGUCAGUGGCGAACGGGUGAGUAACACGUGAGUAACCUGCCCCUCACUUCUGGAUAACCGCUUGAAAGGGUGGCUAAUACGGGGUGUUCUGGCUGUGCCGCAUGGUGUGGCUGGGAAAGAUUCACUUUUGUGGUGUUUUGGUGGGGGAUGGGCUCGCGGCCUAUCAGCUUGUUGGUGGGGUGAUGGCCUGCCAAGGCUUUGACGGGUAGCCGGCCUGAGAGGGUGGGCGGUCACACUGGGACUGAGAUACGGCCCAGACUCCUGCGGGAGGCAGCAGUGGGGGGUAUUGCACAAUGGGCGGAAGCCUGAUGCAGCGACGUCGCGUGAGGGAUGGAGGCCUUCGGGUCGUGAACCUCUUUCGCCGGUGAAGAAGGUCCUGCUCUUUGUGGUGGGGUUGACGGUAGCCGGGUUAUGAAGCGCCGGCUAACUACGUG